rnacentral:rRNA from 1 species
AGGUUCGAUUCUGGCUCAGGAUGAACGCUGGCGGUAUGCUUAACACAUGCAAGUCGUACGAAGCUGGUGAAUCACUUUGGUGGUUAACCAGACUGAGUGGCGGACGGGUGAGUAACACGUAAGAACCUACCUUUGGAGAGGGAUAACCACUGGAAACGGUGGCUAAUACCUCAUAGGCUGAGAAGUGAAAAGAUGAACAAUCGCCAAAAGAUGGGCUUGCGGCUGAUUAGCUUGUUGGUGAGGUAAUGGCUUACCAAGGCGAUGAUCAGUAGCUGGUCUGAGAGGAUGAUCAGCCACACUGGGACUGAGACACGGCCCAGACUCCUACGGGAGGCAGCAGUGAGGAAUUUUCCGCAAUGGGCGAAAGCCUGACGGAGCAAUGCCGCGUGAAGGAUGAAGGCCUAUGGGUUGUAAACUUCUUUUCUCAGAAAAGAAAUCAUGACGGUCUCUGAGGAAUAAGCAUCGGCUAACUCUGUGCCAGCAGCGGC